ACCAAAGCGUCCAUUGCUAUACUGGUUGCUUGGCUCUAUUUUACCUCGGAGGAGGAUGCGGGCAGUUCAAGUUCUAUUUCACCGCAUAAACGCUUGCUCAGUCCGCGCAAAAUUAUUACCUCAGAAUUGCUCUCCAAGGACAGGGUUUUUGAUGGUGACAACCUGCGGACUACCUGCUGCUUCAGAGGACCGAAAAGACUGGAAAGAGAACACUUUCUUUACCAUGCAAUGAUAUAUACCUACGGGGGAAGGAUGGCCAGCCACACAGGAAGGUGAUUUUUACUAAGGAGGAGAAGGAGGCCGUGCUGCCCGAAAUGCAUGCUGGCCAUUUCGGAGUGAACCCCAUGAAUGCUAAAAUCAACAUACGCUUCUUCUGACGGGGAAGUGUCAAGGAGGUGGACAGUUGGGCAAGUGAAAUAACCUUUUGUUUAUCAGUCACAUUAUAUUAUAUCUGAAAUUAUUAUGAUUUCAAUUAAUGUCAUAUCAGAGAGCACACAAUGUUUCAAUUUGUCACUUUUUGCAUAAAGGUCAGUACCCUGUCUAGCCUGACAGAAGUUUGAAAGGGCGAAGACUGUGGCCCCGGAGUUGAAGCCCAUCAAAGUUUUUUCACCAUGGCAUAUGAUCGGUAAUUGUCCCAAUUCAAAUUUUGCCCUGAUAAGUUGUUUUGUAAUGGUUUCUUUAUUUGACCACUUGCGAGGCCACCAAGGCAAUGGUGGACAUCUUCAACACCCACGGUUCUCCUGAGGUCAUCUUGAGUGACCGAGGUCAUGAACACUGGAACAAGGUUUGGUGACUGACCAACCAGACCCUCAAGACUGCCAUUGGCAAGUCCCUUGAUUGGCACAGUACCAGGAAGGGUGGGAAAACAACGUGAAGGUAAUUCUCUUAGCACACAACAGCAGCAUCCAGGCUGAGUACGGACAGGAGCCGUAGCUGUUGACUGAGGUAAACAAUGCAACUGUAUAUACAAUUAUUCCAGAUACUGUAAUCUUUCAAAUUUGUGAUUGACUUAGUGUUUUUGUUUGUCUAUUGCUAUUUUUGUAUAACGUACUUACUGAAACCCCACCUGAUGUGGUGGAAGUUGUCGAACCAGAUCAGAACGCUUUCGAGUACUACCUACAGGCACGGACUAAGAAGGAUGUGGAUGUUUUUGACCAGGUUUGGGUUCUGCCCAACACCCAGACGUGGAUCCACCCUAUGUCCUCCAUUACCAACCACCCUCUAACUUUUCAUUACAUCAUCUACAGCUACCGUUGUUGUCAUGUUGUCAUUAUCUGCUAAGAAAGUUUUCUUGCACUAUCUAAACACUAGCACUGCAAAUACUCAGAACAAAGAGAGCAGCAGUGCCUGGACUUUGCAGUCUCCCUCUUAAAGUCCCCCUUCUGAGACUGGCUGCCUGUUGAGAACAAGUGACAGGCAAAAUUCCACACACCAGAAUUCAGUAUUUUAGUCUAUGAUUGCCAUGUGAGUGGAAAUAAAUUAAUGACACAACUGUACCAAAAACUAUCAAAGUUUAUGUAUUAAAAUCUUAAAUAUUGCCAGGUUGGUUUUCACAGCUGUUUCACAAGAUGUUCAUUAUUGUAAGUUGUAAGGUAUCCUUUGAUGGUAUUUAUUUGUUCCACAUUAUUCAUUGUUGUAUCCUAGGACCUACAAUAGAUACAUACUGUAUAUGAGCUGCGUGAGAAAAAUACAUCGUAAUAAAGGACUACUGAAAUUAUAUUAUUUCAGUGUAGAUAAGGGAAGGGCAGGUUAAAAUAAAAACAUGACAGCCUGACAAGCCAGUGUAUGAAUCAAAUGGAUUUGCAUAUGAAUGGAGUAGAAAUUAGCUGACUUUGGGAUCUGUAAGGUAAGUCACUUUAAUGUGUCAAGCAGAUUACACGUUUCUUUGCCAUUUGUAUCAUGAAGGAGAGGCAAUGCAUGCUUGAAUUUUAUCAAGUACAAAGGGAAGAGGUAGAAAGGAUGCUGUUGUCUCUUUUGGAUGACAAGUCACCUGGUACCGAUAAUCUUGGCGCCAAAUUGCUUAGAGUUACAGCUAACCAAAUAUCUACCCCAAUCAUAUUUUUAAUAGGUGCUUGAUGUAUGGGGUGUGCCCAGAAGUCUGGAAAGAGUCAAAGGUUAUUCCACUACCUAAGGAUGAAAAAUCU